GUGUCUUCUUCUUUCUCUCAGGUUGUUAGAAAGUGAACACUCUUUUAUCUUUUCUGGAAGUUGAAUGCCUUAAUGGCAUAUGCAAACAAGAAGGCGAAAACAGCAGGCCAUACGACGAUAACUGCUGCAACGACUCCUAGAAAAUCAUGCUCAAAUCCAAAAUAACGCCCCAAGAAUUGUUCAACAUUUUCAUCAUUGCUAAUCAUAGUUUGGAGGUCUCCGAAUUGUGAUGCAACGAGACCAUACAAGGUCCACGCGACAGGGCAAAGCCAAUAGUACCAUCUCCACCAUAUUGGAAUACGAGGUCGGGGAACGAUGAAUCCUGAGAAGAGAUUCCAUACUGCAUAGAAGAAGGCUGCUACUAUAGAAGCAACGUUUUGAUUCGGGGAAAUAGCCACAGUCAUCAUGCCAUAGAAGGUGAAGU
rnacentral:misc_RNA from 1 species